UACGGAGGGUGCAAGCGUUAUCCGGAUUCACUGGGCUUAAAGGGUGCGUAGGCGGGCAGGCAAGUCAGUUGUGAAAUCUCCGAGCUUAACUCGGAAACUGCCAUUGAUACUAUUUGUCUUGAAUAUUGUGGAGGUAAGCGGAAUAUGUCAUGUAGCGGUGAAAUGCUUAGAUAUGACAUAGAACACCAAUUGCGAAGGCAGCUUACUACACAAUGAUUGACGCUGAGGCACGAAAGCGUGGGGAUCAAACAGG
rnacentral:rRNA from 1 species